rnacentral:lncRNA from 1 species
UAACAUUUCCUGACAUCUAUCCAUACUCCAUACUUUUUUAUAAAUAUAUACAACAUUUAGGUAGUUCAAAAAUUAACAAAUUCGCUUGUCCAAACAAUUAACAUAACAUGUAACCGAAAUUUGAAUCAUUUAUUGAAGACAACCCCAAAACAUCACUUAUUUGUGACCGGAUGAAGUAAUAUAUUUAGACUACUGAUCACUCAAAUAAUCCAUUCACUAAUAAGGUUCAAAGGUCUAUUAUUAUUUCUAAAGCACCCAAUUAUAAUCACCCAAGUACCUUUGCAAGCUUUGCUGGGCUGCCUUGUCCAAACAAUUAACAUAACAUGUAACCGAAAUUUGAAUCAUUUAUUGAAGACAACCCCAAAACAUCACUUAUUUGUGACCGGAUGAAGUAAUAUAUUUAGACUACUGAUCACUCAAAUAAUCCAUUCACUAAUAAGGUUCAAAGGUCUAUUAUUAUUUCUAAAGCACCCAAUUAUAAUCACCCAAGUACCUUUGCAAGCUUUGCUGGGCUGCCCACUUUUUCAGAUUCGCUUUCAGAGUCGCUGCCUGAGUCAGAAUCUGCAUUACCAACACCA